rnacentral:rRNA from 1 species
UCGACCUCAGAUCAGGUAGGAAUACCCGCUGAACUUAAGCAUAUCAAUAAGCGGAGGAAAAGAAACCAACAGGGAUUGCCUCAGUAGCGGCGAGUGAAGCGGCAAGAGCUCAGAUUUGAAAUCGUGUUUCGGCACGAGUUGUAGAGUGUAGGUGGGAGUCUCUGCGGAGCACAGUGUCCAAGUCCCUUGGAACAGGGCGCCUGAGAGGGUGAGAGCCCCGUGGGGUGCUGUGCGAAGCUUUGAGGCCCUGCUGACGAGUCGAGUUGUUUGGGAAUGCAGCUCUAAGCGGGUGGUAAAUUCCAUCUAAGGCUAAAUAUUGGCGAGAGACCGAUAGCGAACAAGUACUGUGAAGGAAAGAUGAAAAGCACUUUGAAAAGAGAGUGAAACAGCACGUGAAAUUGUUGAAAGGGAAGGGUAUUGGGCCCGACAUGGGGAGUGCGCACCGCUGUCUCUUGUAGGCGGCGCUCUGGGCGCUCUCUGGGCCAGCAUCGGUUCCUGCUGCGAGAGAAAGGGUUCCGGAAAGUGGCUCUUCGGAGUGUUAUAGCCGGGGCCAGAUGUCGCGUGUGGGGACCGAGGACUGCGGCU